GGAACAUGAACUGAACUGACUGCACUAAGAGCAAGAGCAAGUAAAAAGCUUACUUUGUGCUUGUGAAAUAUUCGUAUGCAACGUGAUAUAAUAAAUUCUGAAGUAAUGGCCUGUUGUGUCAAAGGUUGCAAUUCAAGGGGAGAUAAAAAGGAUCA